GCUCUAAUGUGGCUCAGCUGGUAGAGCAUGAGACUCUUAAUCUCAGGGUUAUGGGUUCAAUCCCCAUGUUAGGCA